CCCGCCAAUUCCUUUAAGUUUCUCUGGUUGAUCCUGCCGGAGGCUACUGCUAUUGGGAUUCGACUAAGCCAUGCGAGUCAAGGUGUCUUCGGACGCCGGCGUACGGCUCAGUAACACGUAGGUAACCUACCCUCAAGACUGAGAUAACCCCGGGAAACUGGGGCUAAUAUUAGAUAGAUAAAAGGUACUGGAAUGUUCUUUUAUCCAAAGCUUUUGCGCUUGAGGAUGGGCCUGCGUCCGAUUAGGUUGUUGGUGGGGUAAUGGCCCACCAAGCCUGCGAUCGGUACGGGCAGUGAGAGCUGAAGCCCGGAGUUGGGGACUGAGACAUGAAUCCAGGCCCUACGGGGCGCAGCAGGCGCGAAACCUUCGCACUGUGGGAAACCACGACGAGGGAAUUCCAAGUGCUUAUACAAUGUAUAAGCUGUUUACAAGUCUAAAAAACUUGUAGAGUAAGGGCUGGGUAAGACGGGUGCCAGCCGCCGCGGUAAUACCCGCAGCCCAAGUGGUGCUCUUUAUUAUUGGGUCUAAAACGUCCGUAGCCGGCUUGGUAAAUUCUUGGGGAAAUCGGGCAGCUUAACUGUUCGAAGUCCGGGGAGACUGCCAGGCUUGGGAUCGGGGGAAGUUCGAGGUACUUCAGGGGUAGGGGUGAAAUCCUGUCAUCCUUGAAGGACCACCAGUGGCGAAGGCGUCGAACUACAACGAAUCCGACGGUAAGGGACGAAGCCCUGGGGCACAAACGGGAUUAGAUACCCCGGUAGUCCAGGGUGUAAACGCUGCGGACUUGGUGUUGGGAAGCCUUUGUGGUUGCCCAGUGCCGGAGAGAAGUUGUUAAGUCCGCUACCUGGGGAGUACGGUCGCAAGACUGAAACUUAAAGGAAUUGGCGGG
rnacentral:rRNA from 1 species